GAAUGCUCUACCCAUAAAUCAGUGCUAGGACAUCUGCUUUGCAUGCAGAAGGCGCCAGGUUCAACCCCUGGCAUCUCCA